CGAACUACGAAGGUAUGUCAAAGCGGUUUUCCUUGAUUCUGAUUCACUGCGGGUUAGCAUGCUAAGAAAUGUUUGUUUCAAUAGUGUGUAUGGGGAAGCAGACGCUGAUUGAACCGCAGUGUACCAGUGUUUUGCGUGAUCAUUUCCAUGGACAAGCACCCGCUGGGUAUUGUGGCUGUCGUGGGGUACCUGCGAUAAACGUAGCGUUCCUUGCAUCCGGUAACGUGAGCGGCAGACUGUUUAACUGCAACCAGCAUUUGGAGUGUUGCUGUUGCUGUUCUCU